UACGGAGGGGGCUAGCGUUGUUCGGAAUUACUGGGCGUAAAGCGCACGUAGGCGGCUUUGUAAGUUAGAGGUGAAAGCCCAGGGCUCAACCCUGGAAUUGCCUUUAAGACUGCAUCGCUUGAACAUCGGAGAGGUAAGUGGAAUUCCGAGUGUAGAGGUGAAAUUCGUAGAUAUUCGGAGGAACACCAGUGGCGAAGGCGGCUCACUGGUCCGGUACUGACGCUGAGGUGACGAA
rnacentral:rRNA from 1 species